rnacentral:misc_RNA from 1 species
GAAAAUUGGCAGGGAAAAACAAAGAUGGUAAUAAAAACAGUAGAUCUUUUGAAGAAUGAAAUUCCCAUAGAGGAGGAAUCAGUAGUCAUCACUGAAGAUAUUAAGGCUGGACUUGUUCUUGUGGACAUAAUCAAUGGAUUUUGUACUGUUGGAGCUGGAAAUCUGGCACCAAGAGAGCCUAACAGGCAGAUCAGUGAAAUGAUUGAUGAAUCAUCAAGGCUUGCUAGAGCGUUUUGUGACAAGAAAUUGCCAGUUCUUGCCUUUCUUGAUUCACAUCAACCUGAUAAACUUGAACACCCAUAUCCUUCUCACUGCAUCACUGGCACUGAUGAAUCCAACUUGGUUCCUGCACUAAGAUGGGUGGAGGAGGAACCAAAUGUUACCAUCAGGCGCAAAGAUUGUUAUGAUGGCUAUAUUGGUUCCUUUCAGGAGGAUGGCUCUAAUGUAUUUGUUGAUUGGGUGAAGAACAACCAAGUUCAACUUUUGUUGGUGGUAGGGGUGUGCACGGAUAUUUGUGUGCUGGACUUUGUUUGCUCUACAUUAUCAGCUAAGAACCGCGGAUUCCUCAACCCUUUAAAGGAUGUAGUAGUUUACUCUCAGGGAUGUGCCACCUUUGAUUUUCCACUCUCUAUGGCAAGAUACACCAAAGAUAUUUCACCACAUCCACAGGAGCUAAUGCAUCAUGUGGGACUUUAUAUGGCCAAGGGAAGGGGUGCAAAAAUAGCUAAAGAAGUUUCCUUCAACAACUUGAACAAACCAUGAUGUAUUGCCAAUCUUUUCUUUAGAAAAGACUGCAUUUUAUGUACUCCAGUAGUUUCUAUGAUCACAAUAAUACUACAACAUGAUGUGCUGUUUCCAUUAGAUUAACGCAAGAAUAGGGUUGCCUUGUCUAGUCAAUAGAUGUAUGUUAUGAAUGCAGUGUCCAUUCAUUUCCUUAUAAUAGGAUAGUAGUCUAUCCAUAAAUUUGCCAAAAUAAUAUAUUGUACUACAGUUUCAAUAGAUUUCGU